rnacentral:rRNA from 1 species
AGAUGCGAUCAUACCAGCAUUAAUGUACCGGAUCCCAUCACAACUCUGCAGUUAAGAGUGCUUGGGCGAUAGUAGUACUAGGAUGGGGGACCUCUCGGGAAGUCUCGUGUUGCAACCC